ensembl:lncRNA
UUAAACGCAUAUUUUGCUAAUCACAUUUAAUAACUCAGCACAGACUCGUCUUUAAUGUUAUUAGUACCUGUGUUUACUGUUUCACGCUGUAAAAUUUUGUGGUCCCGGCAGUUUACUGCAUCAUUGAAAAAUGCAACAUUUUCUUAAAAAACUGAGACUUUUCAAGAUCAAAGACCUCUAAGGCGCUCUCUGUUAUUUAAGAUUUUAAAUGCCUUCAUAUUCAUCAUAUCAGAGAAAUAUUUGUUGAGAAUAGCUUCCUAUCUCUCUCUGAACUAGAUGGACUGGACAGUUUCUGAUUCUAGACUCAAUUUGAAUCGAAGCAUUGCGCCUAUGGAAAUACUCUUCAGCUAAAAUAUAAGAAAUAUAUACAUAUAUAUAUAUAUUUAAAAGAAUAUUAUAUGCUAGAUCUGUAGUGAUUUGAUUAGGACUUUAAACAGGCUUAUGAGAUUUAUGAGCUUUCUUUUCUUUGUCAGCGGAUUCUGGUUUUUUUUUUUCCUGUUUUUUUUUCUUUCUUUCCAGUGAUUAAACAUCUUACUUUUCAUCAGUCUCUGUGCUUGAAAAACACUUUCCCCCCCAGAAAGUAAUUGAUGUGAUAAAAUGGCUCAUAAAUCUAAAAGCCACAGAAUGAAGUUAUCAACAGGUCCAGAUGAGCCACACUGCAUAUUUUGUUUCUAGCACGCAGCUAAAAAGAAGGUCCAACAGAUGGCAGUGCAACAUAGUAAACUGAACACUCUUGUUUAAACAGAAAUGAUCUUUGGUUAUAAAACUAAGAAAGCUACUGACUGAUGUUCUCACUUAAUUCUAUUAACUUACAUUGGACACUGGCAACAAAAUUCAUCUUAUUAUGUCUGAAACCGAUUAUUAAGUCUUUCUUUCUUCUGUGUGGUUUCCUUUCAUUGCUCUUAUCUUUCCCUUGCGUCCUCUCAUUUAGUUUGCUCUGCGGUUUGGGGAAAAUUGUUAGCACAUGUUGGUACUGGAGGUUAAUAAUCAGCCUUAUAUUGUGCACAUGCUACUGGUUAAUUGCACAGUAUGUAGUCGCAUCAAAACAGAUGGAUGAUGCGUGCUCUCCAUUCAUUUAAAGAUAAAGAACUAUUUUUUUGCGG